CCUACGGGAGGCAGCAGUGAGGAAUAUUGGUCAAUGGACGAAAGUCUGAACCAGCCAAGUAGCGUGAAGGAUGAAUGCCCUAUGGGUUGUAAACUUCUUUUAUAUGGGAAUAAAGUGUUCCACGUGUGGGAUUUUGUAUGUACCAUAUGAAUAAGGAUCGGCUAACUCCGUGCCAGCAGCCGCGGUAAUACGGAGGAUCCGAGCGUUAUCCGGAUUUAUUGGGUUUAAAGGGAGCGUAGGUUGAUUGUUAAGUCAGUUGUGAAAGUUUGCGGCUCAACCGUAAAAUUGCAGUUGAAACUGGCAGUCUUGAGUGCAGUAGAGGUGGGCGGAAUGCGUGGUGUAGCGGUGAAAUGCUUAGAUAUCACGAAGAACUCCGAUUGCGAAGGCAGCUCACUGGACUGCAACUGACACUGAGGCUCGAAAGUGUGGGGAUCAAACAGGAUUAGAUACCCUUGUAGUC
rnacentral:rRNA from 1 species